rnacentral:misc_RNA from 1 species
AAGUCGUAACAAGGUUUCCGUAGGUGAACCUGCGGAAGGAUCAUUAAUGAAAAUGUGUUGCCGGGGCCCCAUAAUCCCGGCACUAACCUUCUUAUCCAUACACCUGUGCACUGUUGGAUGCUUGCAUCCCACUUUUUAUACUAAACAAUUUUGUAACAAAUUGUAGUCUUAUUAUGAAUUAAUAAAC